GUCGAGAAUCUUCCGCAAUGCGCGAAAGCGUGACGGAGCGACACCGCGUUAUGGAUGAAGUCCUUCGGGGCGUAAACAUCUUUUAUAAAGGAGGAAAUUUUUGACGUUACUUUAUGAAUAAGGGGCUCCCAAUCUCGUGCCAGCAGGAGCGGUAAUACGAGAGCCUCAAGCGUUAUCCGGAAUCAUUGGGCGUAAAGGGUGCGUAGGUGGUUUGAUUAGUCUCCCGUUAAAACUUCGAGCUUAACUCGAAAAGAGCGGGGGAAACGGUCAAACUAGAGUAUGUGAGAGGUGUGUGGAACUCAUGGUGUAGGGGUGAAAUCCGUUGAUAUCAUGGGGAACACCAAAAGCGAAGGCAGCACACUGGCACAUCACUGACACUGAGGCACGAAACCUAAGGUAGCGAAUGGGAUUAGAAACCCUGGUAGUCC
rnacentral:rRNA from 1 species